rnacentral:rRNA from 1 species
AGAGUUUGAUCAUGGCUCAGGACGAACGCUGGCGGCGUGCCUAAGACAUGCAAGUCGAGCGGUUCCAAGGGGCUUGCUCCUUGGAAUAGCGGCGGACGGGUGAGUAACGCGUAGGUAAUCUGCCUCCGGGACCGGGAUAACAGAGCGAAAGCGCUGCUAAUACCGGAUAGGCGCCACGGUGCCGCAUGGCACCAGGCGGAAAGGGGAAACCCGCCGGGAGAUGAACCUGCGUCCCAUUAGCCAGUUGGCGGGGUAACGGCCCACCAAAGCGACGAUGAGUAGCCGGCCUGAGAGGGUGUACGGCCACACUGGGACUGAGACACGGCCCAGACUCCUACGGGAGGCAGCAGUCGGGAAUUUUCCACAAUGGGCGAAAGCCUGAUGGAGCAACGCCGCGUGGGUGAGGAAGGUCUUCGGAUUGUAAAACCCUGUCCUGAGGGAAGAAAAAAAUGACGGUACCUCAGGAGGAAGCCCCGGCUAACUACGUGCCAGCAGCCGCGGUAAUACGUAGGGGGCAAGCGUUGUCCGGAAUUACUGGGCGUAAAGCGUGCGCAGGCGGUUUGUUAAGACAGGUGUGAAAUCCCCGGGCUUAACCUGGGAACUGCGCUUGUUACUGGCAGACUUGAGUGUGGCAGAGGGGGGUGGAAUUCCAGGUGUAGCAGUGAAAUGCGUAGAUAUCUG